rnacentral:lncRNA from 1 species
UUUAAAUUACAAAAACACUGUAGCAUUUUAUCAACAGUCAAGUCAAGAAACAAAUAAAAUGUAUACUUUAAACUUUGAAGUUGGGUAUUCCCUUGAAACAUAUUUUCAUAUCAAACUGGUCAGUCCUCAAGACCUCAACGUUUGUACAUUUUCACUUUUAUCUGUUCCGAAAAUAUGACAUUAGAUUGUUGUUUGAAAAUGUUGAUAAACUUUGUGCAGAUUUACUAAUAGUACGCGUCUCAUUUUAUAGUGAAGAUUGAUAAAAUUUUGAAAUGUAAUUAACUUUUUGUCACAAAUCACAUUGUAAACAUGUGGACACUGCCGAACAGAGACUAAAUGCUCAUUUUAAAACUGUCGAUGGUUUAUCUUUGAAAAUACUUUUAAAUAGUUCAUCAUAUUUAUUAAAAAACCCUGUAGAUCGGUAGGGUAGGAGGUUGGCAGGUAGUAAAGUACAACAAUUUUCAGCCUCGGGGCGUGUAUCAUCAGGUGGUAUAUACAAUCACGGCUUUAGCUUGAUAAUUAUUUGGCCUCCAUGCACUAAGUAAUGGGGUAACAGCAAUAUUUAUAACAGCAUUUUUCUGAUAUACAGUACACACUUUAUAAUAUGAACAUAGUCAUAGAUAAUUC